AAUUCUUCCAUGUCAAAUGUGUACUAAUAGUCUCUCUCUUGGACCAAAUUACUAACCUAACAGACCAUGAAGGAUCUUUGGAAGCUACUGUGAACUGUCAUGCUUACCAAUACACAGAGAGGAUUUACCAGCACAGUAGACCUUAGCAACAGUUUUGCUCUCAAUGGGAGUUUACAUUUAAAUAUACCUGACUUUGCAUAGACCUAGUUCUGCAGCCCUGACUCAUCUUGGAUAAUAUUUACUCAUAAAUGCAUACUGUGAAGAGCAAUGCCUGAACUGAUGCUAUCCCAGACAGAAAAAUAUGACUUCAAACCUAAUGGGAUUCUCCUCAGACCAGUACGUGCUGGGAGCAUGAAGGAGGUUUGUACCAUAAUCCAACCAAAAACCAGCAAAUGCAAAGUCAUAACAAUGGACGUAUGCUCCUUGCCCACCCCUGGACUAUAUAUGGGCACAGCUUUGGCUUUCCACCCAGUUUGCUAUUCUGUGGAACAUAAGAACAGUCAUACUCGGUCAGACCAAUGGUCCAUCUAGUCCAGUAUCCUGUCUUCUGACAGUGGCCAAUGUGAGGUGCUUCAGAGGGAAUGCACAGAACAG
rnacentral:lncRNA from 1 species